CUUCAAGUUUUCGGAAAGGUCUUUAAGUUCUAGUUGUGGAGGUUUGACAUUGGAUGGCACUAGCUGAGAUUCCGAAAUAGGCAAUGAUUCAAACUUGGUGGCCCAUCUGCUAGUAUCCAUCGCAGGAAUGGAAUCUAACAAUGCAUUAGCCUCUUAACGUGACUCACAAUCUUAACCAAAAUUAGCCAAACAUCUUUCUAAUGGGUCAGAAUAACUCGACUCUUCAAAAGAACUGCUAAUUAUGUUCUCAAUCAU
rnacentral:lncRNA from 1 species